UUCGCCCUUCUACGGGAGGCAGCAGUGGGGAAUAUGCGCAAUGGGCGGAAGCCUGACGCAGCGACGCCGCGUGGGGGAUGACGGCCUUCGGGUUGUAAACCUCUUUCGACCUUGACGAAGCCUUUCGGGGUGACGGUAGGGGUAGAAGAAGCACCGGCCAACUACGUGCCAGCAGCCGCGGUAAUACGUAGGGUGCGAGCGUUGUCCGGAAUUAUUGGGCGUAAAGAGCUCGUAGGCGGUCUGUCGCGUCGGUCGUGAAAACUUGGGGCUUAACCCUGAGCUUGCGGUCGAUACGGGCAUGACUGGAGUUCGGCAGGGGAGACUGGAAUUCCUGGUGUAGCGGUGAAAUGCGCAGAUAUCAGGAGGAACACCGGUGGCGAAGGCGGGUCUCUGGGCCGAUACUGACGCUGAGGAGCGAAAGCGUGGGGAGCGAACAGGAUUAGAUACCCUGGUAGUCCACGCCGUAAACGGUGGGCGCUAGGUGUGGGGGCCAUUCCACGGUCUCUGUGCCGCAGCUAACGCAUAAGCG
rnacentral:rRNA from 1 species